rnacentral:lncRNA from 1 species
UGCUGGGCAUCAAAAUACGCCUAGGCCAACUGAUGACCAUAAGUGUUAAUAUUACAAGCUAAAAAUUUCCCAUAAUACUUAGUUCCUGUUGUAUCUGCACUGAGUAUUGAUAGUACAAACACCAGAAGAACUAACAAGAGUUGGGCUCCCUUCUAUACGCAUCUUCAAUCUUUCCUUAGCUAGUAUAUCUUUUACCUUGUUCCCCUCUUUGUACACGUGCACUGGUGGAGCUGCUUCUAGGCUUUCUAGUAAUAAGGACAAGCAUUUAGAAAUCAAAUGGGUAAGUGGUAAAUGGCCAUGAGUGAUUAUAGAGUGGCCUCCAGUGUGUCCAUAUCAAUAACCAGAAGUUUAAGGCCAUAGUAUAAAACUAAAGGAAGCCCUUUUCUGAGAGCAUGGAGUUCCGCUAUGAAAUGAGUUGUGUUGGGGAUGCUAUCAUAUAACCUACUAUAUAGUUCCCAUUGUAGUUCCUGAUCACUCCUUCGAGACCUCCCUUACCAGGAUUGAGCUUGACUACAACAUCAGUGUUAAGUUUAUAGAAACCUAGAGUAGGGGGUUGCCAGCUGAUUUGAAUAAUUUGAGUGGGUGUUUGAGUG